CCUACGGGCGGCAGCAGUGAGGAAUAUUGGUCAAUGGCCGUAAGGCUGAACCAGCCAAGUCGCGUGAAGGAAGAAGGAUCUAUGGUUUGUAAACUUCUUUUAUAGGGGAAUAAAGGUAUCCACGUGUGGAUAUUUGCAUGUACCCUAUGAAUAAGCAUCGGCUAACUCCGUGCCAGCAGCCGCGGUAAUACGGAGGAUGCGAGCGUUAUCCGGAUUUAUUGGGUUUAAAGGGUGCGUAGGUUGUUUUUUAAGUCAGCGGUGAAAGUUUGGGGCUCAACCAUAAAAGUGCCGUUGAAAGUGGAAGACUAGAGUGGGUGAGAGGGAGGCGGAAUGCGUGGUGUAGCGGUGAAAUGCAUAGAUAUCACGCAGAACUCCGAUUGCGAAGGCAGCGUACUGGGGCAUAAGUGACGCUGAAGCACGAAGGCGUGGGGAUCGAACAGGAUUAGAUACCCGUGUAGUC
rnacentral:rRNA from 1 species